rnacentral:snRNA from 1 species
GUGCAUGCUUCAGCAACACAGAUACUAAAAUUGGAAUACAGAGAUUAGCAUGGCCCCUGCAUUAAAAUGACAUGCAAAUUCAUGAAGUUUCGUAUUUAAAA